rnacentral:rRNA from 1 species
GACGAACGCUGGCGGCGUGCUUAACACAUGCAAGUCGAACGGAAAGGCCCUGCUUUUGUGGGGUGCUCGAGUGGCGAACGGGUGAGUAACACGUGAGUAACCUGCCCUUGACUUUGGGAUAACUUCAGGAAACUGGGGCUAAUACCGGAUAGGAGCUCCUGCUGCAUGGUGGGGGUUGGAAAGUUUCGGCGGUUGGGGAUGGACUCGCGGCUUAUCAGCUUGUUGGUGGGGUAGUGGCUUACCAAGGCUUUGACGGGUAGCCGGCCUGAGAGGGUGACCGGCCACAUUGGGCCUGCGAUACGGCCCAGACUCCUACGGGAGGCAGCAGUGGGGAAUAUUGCGCAAUGGGCGGAAGCCUGCUGCAGCAACGCCGCGUGCGGGAUGACGGCCUUCGGGUUGUAAACCGCUUUCGCCUGUGACGAAGCGUGAGUGACGGUAAUGGGUAAAGAAGCACCGGCUAACUACGUG